AUUAGAAUAUCAUGUAACUGCUUUGGCAGUUCGGCUUAAGAAAAUGAGGUUUUAGCAUUACUUUUUAACUUAUAUCUUUAUGAGCUUUUUUCUCUUUUUUGGGGAUAAUAGAGAUGUGACUGAAUUGUACUUUUUGUAAGGAGCAGGCCAGCCAAUAUUCAAAUUUGAAUUUUAAAAGGAAUCUCUUCCUGUCACUACAGCUGUGGAUCAAAGGCAGUGUGGAGUAGCAGUAAAAUGGUUGAUUAAAGAUUAUUUUACAUUGAAAUAUGUUUUUUCCAAAUGUUAUUGUAAAGGAACUGAGGAAAACCCCACAGUCUGUUGAGUGAAAGUAGGACAUUUGUUAAGCGUUCACAUGGGACUCUGUAAUAGGUGAAGUCAAGGUUCUUAGACAAAAAUUGUCAAUGUGGGAGGCCCUUAUAGUUAUAAAAAUGAUAUGGGGUCCUCAACAUCCUUCUCGAACAUUGAGAGGAUCUUGGUCAUACAUCGUAGGGUGCUCAGAGCAUUGUCUGCUAGUAGAGGGGUUGGAAUGGACAACUGUGCAGAGAGACUGCUAUUGCUGGAGAAUCAAUAGGCACAAUGGGAGAUAAGUACGUCUUCUAUACUAAGGAAUUCUAGAUACUAAUGAUUUUGCAAUAACAUGAAAAACAAAUCAGAAACAAACAGAAAAGAAAAUUCUCUCUCUCUCUGGGAAAACCACCGCAUUAGGCUUUUUCACCAUGAUUUUCCAUGAUUAUAUAUGAAAGAUUCUCUAGUAUUUAAUGGGAAAAAAGAAAACUUCUGGAGACCCAGGAAGAGUUUUGGUGGAAAAGACUAACAGAGGUUUUAAUCUCGAGCUCUGGGAGGUGUCUCGCCUCUUUAAGUAGAAGCAGAUUUGAUAUCAUUCCUUUAAUUAAAACCAUCUGAUGCACAAAAUCCCUUCUCAAUUGCCCUAGAUAACUUAUUUUCCAACUCCACCUUCAAAUGGUUUGUCUUCCAAUGAAGCGUGUUAUCGUUUAUUCAAAUGACUGAUAACCCAAGAGUCGUGAAUAAUGGAAAAAUGACAAAACUUGCUAUACAUAAUCAGUUGGCAAAGGAAGGAGAAAUAACAGCUGCUUAACUGUUAUAACAUAUAUUUUUAAACUGAGCUUGUAAGUCAGUGUAACUGCCAAGUCACAGAUUUUUUUCAGUAAUCUCAAGAUGGCUUAAAGCCAUACAGAUAGGAGUUUGUUGGUGGCUUUCUUCUACCCCGAGCUCUUGUCUUUGGAAAUAUUGGGCAGGGAGAAAGGGUGCUUUUAGAACCGAGCUGUUCAGGGUCCCAGAUCCUCUAAUGUAAUGCCAGCUGAACCCAGACAGUGACUUCCACCUCCAUGAAUGCAGGUGAUUGCAUCCUUUGAAAGCCUGUUUGCAUAGCAGACAAUGAAGCUGAGCAGAGAAAAACAAGAUGAGAGACAGAUGGAGUAGGAGACCUGAGAAGAUGGCUUGAGUCCAUGAAUUCUGGUGUUCCCUAGGCCACAUUUGCCCCCAUCCUUCCCAGAUUUUACUUUCUACUCUUGUCAGUCAUAUCUGCAAGGCUGACAGUUACCAGGGGCUGUGGCCAGGCAUGAGGGAGAAUGUGUCAUUGCUGGCUGCGUUGGUCAUAGCAACGUGUCUGCCUCAGAACAGAUCCAGCAUGGAUGAGCAAACAGAAAAAUGUGUAAGAAGGCUUGUGACUGAAACAGACCAAGGGUGAGAGAACCUUUGUGGGAGCGCAGAAGUCCAGCAGAGAGACCCUAGCACUUUAUUUGGACCAAAAAAUAAAUAAUAAAUAAAUAAAUAAAUAAAUCCAAAACUAGAUGCAUUAAAGAAGGUAAGAACAGUUUUACUUUACCUGUGUCACCCCUCCCCCAGUGUGGCACAGAUCAGUGCCAAGAGAGACCGCUUCAGCCCAGUUUCUUCCACAGGGGAAAAUGAGAACAGUGAGUGCCUAAUUUCCUCAGCUGUAGGAUGCUGUAGAAGAGACCCACUUCUGCCUCACCCAUUUGAGAACCCUGAGGGAAUCAGUAUGGCUGAAUAAUCUGGGGGUAGCUAGGAGCAGGGAAAAGGGGCAGCACUCACAGCAACCUGAGUAUGGAAUUCAGCAAAGAGCCACAGUUUCUAUUAACUACCUCCCAAAUUCCAUCAAGAGGGCCAGCCACAAACUACAUAGGAUGCAUAAUCUGCAGAUCCCCUGACUAGCCCAUGUGUGCUUCCAACCUUCUGCAUGCCCUUCCCCCAUGUAGCUGGCACCCUGAAUGCACCCCCAUGGAUAGCAUGUACAAGCUUCUGCAGAUUGUGCAUGAGAACAUGAAGAUAACUAACUUGAUUCAGGAUUGGAAGGAAGUGACUAAUCUUGAAUUUUUCAAGGCACUUCCUAGGGAAGAUAAACAGGAGGCUUACAUUGCACCUGGCCUGACUUUUGCAAGAUCAAGAGAAGGAAUAUGCUGUAAUUUGAAUGAAAAUUUAACAUUUAAAAUUUAUGUUGAAGCUGAAUACUCAAUGCAAUAGUACUAAGAAGUCUAACCUUUGGGAGGUGAUUAAGUCAUGAUGACUCUUCUCACUUGAAUGGGAUGAGCACUCAUAAAAGAUGUCAAGGUUUAUGGGAGUUCUCUUUUGCCCUUCCAUCCCUUCUGCCAGGUUAGACUUCUCCUAUGGAGAAUGCAGCAAGAAAAUACCAUCUUGAAGCAGAGAGCAGCGCUCAUCAGGCAUCAGUCCUUCUGGAGCCUUGAUCUUGGACCUCCCAGCUCCAAAAUAAUAAGUAAUAAAUUGUUAUUGCUUAUAAAUUA
rnacentral:lncRNA from 1 species